rnacentral:tRNA from 1 species
GGAUUGUGGCUCAGUGGCAGAGUGCUUGCCUCACAUGUAUGAGGCACUGGGUUAGAUCCUCAGUACCA